UACGUAGGGUGCGAGCGUUGUCCGGAAUUAUUGGGCGUAAAGGGCUCGUAGGCGGUUUGUCGCGUCGGGAGUGAAAACCUUGGGCUUAACUCAGGGCUUGCUUUCGAUACGGGCAGACUAGAGGUAUGCAGGGGAGAACGGAAUUCCUGGUGUAGCGGUGAAAUGCGCAGAUAUCAGGAGGAACACCGAUGGCGAAGGCAGAUCUCUGGGCCGUAACUGACACUGAGGGACGAAAGCUAGGGGAGCGAAUGGG
rnacentral:rRNA from 1 species